CUGUUUAGCACAAGUACUAAAAUUAGAAUGAUAUAGAUUAACAAGGCUCCUGCACAAGCAUGACAUGCAAAUUUGUGAAGUGUUCCAUAUUUUU
rnacentral:snRNA from 1 species